AUUGAACGCUGGCGGCAGGCUUAACACAUGCAAGUCGAACGAUGACUCUCUAGCUUGCUAGAGAAGAUUAGUGGCGGACGGGUGAGUAACAUUUAGGAAUCUGCCUAGUAGUGGGGGAUAGCUCGGGGAAACUCGAAUUAAUACCGCAUACGACCUACGGGUGAAAGGGGGCGCAAGCUCUUGCUAUUAGAUGAGCCUAAAUCAGAUUAGCUAGUUGGUGGGGUAAAGGCCCACCAAGGCGACGAUCUGUAACUGGUCUGAGAGGAUGAUCAGUCACACCGGAACUGAGACACGGUCCGGACUCCUACGGGAGGCAGCAGUGGGGAAUAUUGGACAAUGGGGGCAACCCUGAUCCAGCCAUGCCGCGUGUGUGAAGAAGGCCUUUUGGUUGUAAAGCACUUUAAGCAGGGAGGAGAGGCUAAUGGUUAAUACCCAUUAGAUUAGACGUUACCUGCAGAAUAAGCACCGGCUAACUCUGUGCCAGCAGCCGCGGUAAUACAGAGGGUGCGAGCGUUAAUCGGAAUUACUGGGCGUAAAGCGAGUGUAGGUGGCUCAUUAAGUCACAUGUGAAAUCCCCGGGCUUAACCUGGGAACUGCAUGUGAUACUGGUGGUGCUAGAAUAUGUGAGAGGGAAGUAGAACUCCAGGUGUAGCGGUGAAAUGCGUAGAGAUCUGGAGGAAUACCGAUGGCGAAGGCAGCUUCCUGGCAUAAUAUUGACACUGAGAUUCGAAAGCGUGGGUAGCAAACAGGAUUAGAUACCCUGGUAGUCCACGCCGUAAACGAUGUCUACUAGCCGUUGGGGUCCUUGAGACUUUAGUGGCGCAGUUAACGCGAUAAGUAGACCGCCUGGGGAGUACGGCCGCAAGGUUAAAACUCAAAUGAAUUGACGGGGGCCCGCACAAGCGGUGGAGCAUGUGGUUUAAUUCGAUGCAACGCGAAGAACCUUACCUGGUCUUGACAUAGUGAGAAUCCUGCAGAGAUGCGGGAGUGCCUUCGGGAAUUCACAUACAGGUGCCGCAUGGCUGUCGUCAGCUCGUGUCGUGAGAUGUUGGGUUAAGUCCCGCAACGAGCGCAACCCUUUUCCUUAUUUGCCAGCGGGUUAAGCCGGGAACUUUAAGGAUACUGCCAGUGACAAACUGGAGGAAGGCGGGGACGACGUCAAGUCAUCAUGGCCCUUACGACCAGGGCUACACACGUGCUACAAUGGUAGGUACAGAGGGUUGCUACACAGCGAUGUGAUGCUAAUCUCAAAAAGCCUAUCGUAGUCCGGAUUGGAGUCUGCAACUCGACUCCAUGAAGUCGGAAUCGCUAGUAAUCGCAGAUCAGAAUGCUGCGGUGAAUACGUUCCCGGGCCU
rnacentral:rRNA from 1 species